AUAACAGGACAGACUACAUUUCUCUAAACAUCUCUUUCUUAAAAAAUGUUAGGUAUCUUAUAUAUGAGUAAGUGAUAAACACUUCUCCCGCAAGGGAAAAGUAACAAAUAGUUUUUAUAAAAGUAUAAGGAAGAUCUGAACAAAGAUUUUUUCUAUGUUGUAAUCUCUUCUUGAAAUAAAAAAGUUUAUUUUAUAUCUUUUAUCAUUCUUGUAUGUUGGUGAUAAAAGAAGGUUGUGAUCUUCAGCCUCAAUGGAGGAAGGAUAGCACAGUAGCCUGAGACUGUGAGUCGCAAUAGGCUAAAUAGUUCUUUCGGCUGCGGUGUUGAUACAACCAAUAUAUAAAAAAAGUCGAAAGCAUGCUUUCGGGACAAAGACACACUCCGUCAAGAUUACAUCAUCAUUAUCAAGAAAACCUAAGGCAUAUGUCAACUCAUCCAAGUUACUAUUUAAUAUUGUUACUGAUACGGGUCAAAAAGCCAUCUUAGCACUCGAGGACGUGAAGACGUGAGUGAAGACCCAAUCUUAUGGGGCUUCCUAUCCAAGGAAAAAGAUUUGAAGUGUUGAGAACAAGUUCCAACACUCCAAAAUCGUCCAAGGAGUACACUACAAGGCCACCCCUUUGUUUGGGCUCAUUAAGGGCCUUUUGGUUAUUUUUGUAAUAAGAGUUGCCCUAGUCUAUAAAUAGAACAUUUAUGUCAUUUUGUCAUUUCGAACUUUGAUGAUAUAUUUGUAAACUCAUUGAGAGUGUUUGGCAAGGUGGAAUCCUUGUGUUGUUAACUUGCUUAGCAACGGUGGUUGCUUGGGAGUUCCGAUUCCCUUGAGGUCUCCGUAAGAGUGUAGGUGUCUUGUAUUCAUGUUUUUUGUGUUUUGAUAUUUAAUAUACAUCUUAUUUUAUA